rnacentral:tRNA from 1 species
GGAGACAUGACUCAGAUGGUGGAGUGCCUGCCUGACAAGCAUGAGGUUUUGAGUUCAAAGCCCAGUACUGCUA